AUGAGCUGAAAGCUAAAGAGCAGGCAUUGGGCCAAGUGGAGGAGGAACGCCGCUCCAAGGAAGCAGCUGAGACCAGUAGUAAAAGAAAGCUUGAAACCUUGCGCCUGAAGAUAGAGAUAGAUUUCCAAAGGCAUAAAGAUGAUCUCCAAAGGCUUGAGCAGGAGUUUUCUAGGCUUAAAGCAUCUGCACAGUUCACUGAAUUGAACAGUCAGUUGAAUACUUUAUCUUCAGGAAAGGCAGAGGGGGAAAAGCCUCAAGGUGAAACAAUUGCUAAUCUGCUACAUGAACUAGAUAAGCUGGAGGAUGAGACUGACAAAGGAGUCAUAUGUGAUAGAGAAUGCAUUAUUUGUCAGAAAGGAUGAAGUCUCCAUUGUUUUUCUGCCAUGUGCUCACCAAGUAAUUUGUGCCAGUUGC
rnacentral:lncRNA from 1 species